GUGAAUAGCUGUGACCUCUGACAGAGGAGCUGCAGGAUCUCUUAGUCAUCACAGGGCUACGAGGAGGUUUACCCAUAACAAAUAUCUCUCUCUUUAAAUUAGCCUAGAAAAACCACAAAAGUGUGUCAGUUGAGUGUUUACGAAUGAAGCAUCUUGGGAUUUUUGCUGCUUCAUUCACACAUGCACAUUGGACGUGCUUUCCUUGGUAAGAAAAGGCAAGUAUGUUACAGGUGCAUGUAAUAAUAUUGGUAGUAGAUAGUAUUUUCAUUUUUGCACAUAUUUUCUCAAGGGCUUGCUGCUCUGGCACAUGCACUUAUGCAUUAAAGUGAAGUGAUCAUUCAAGCACAGUGCAUGCAUUUGAAGUAAGAACAGUUGUUGGCACUCUAUCUACUAAAGUAGCUCAUUCAAUACAGGAAAAGUUCAACAGCAGACAGCAGAAACACUGCCUCGAAAAAUACAAAUGACAAAUGUUGUUAUUUGUUGCUGUUAAACAGACACCACACCUUAAAUUUGCAUUUAGAAAGCAAAUACGUACUUGAUGGAAAGUACUUCAAAGAAAAAUUCUAGUUUGGUUAACAUCACCAUUAACCAGCUAAAUACUUGACAUGAAGCUGUACUUAAAAGGAUAGGAGGCAAAUGUGAAUUCCUAGGGCUGCAGGUGAGUAGAGAGGCACAUGAUGCUAGUGGAGUCCUGAUAUGGUGAAAAUCUCUUCUUUGUAUUGUUUAUCUGUUUGUUUGCCAGUAGAAAGUGAUAAGGCAGAAGAGUCUUUUAGGAGUUGGUGAAUGGCCAAAGAAGGGAAAUCAGCAGAGGUCAAGGAGGCAGGAACACAUCAGCAGUUCUCCUCUGGAAAGUGUCUUUAAAGCUCUUCCUUUGGAGAAUAAGUUCUUUCCACCAUCAUGGAUGGAAGUGAUGCUUCUUUUCCAUAUAACUACUUGUACUCUACUGUCCAGAAUCCCAGAUCAUGCUUUAGAGUUGAGCCUUAUUCCAAAUACAUAUAUGCAUAUGGAUGUAUUUUUACAUUAACAGACAUGAAAGUAUAGAGUUUCAAGAACUCCCUUGAACAACUUCACUGGUAGUGCUUGAGUCCUGGAAAUGUCUUUUUUUUUUUUUUUUUUUUUUUUAAAUUUAACAGCUGUAGUAAGACUUUAGUUAUGGAUAACAUGUACAAACAGAAGAGGGCAGGUACGGUCUGUCCUUCCUUCUAAAGCUUAAGCUAGAGGUUAAGUAGAAAGAAAUAAUGGCUGGGCUCCAAUUUUUUUUUUUUUUUUUUUUUUUUAGCUGCAACUGUCCUGGCAAUUUUGUCACUGUUCACUUCUGAAACAAAUUUACCUACUGCUGGAAUGAAAUUAAAUCUUUAUCUCACUUUAUAAAUAUUGCAGAAAAGAAUCUAUUAAUUUAAGCAAUUUUCAAAAAGAAUUAAAAGCUAGAAUUCUUUAACAUCAUUCCCUCAGUUUCAUUCCUCCUAGUUCUUGAUAUUGUGGCUCUUGUAUCUGCAAAGAUGGGGUCAGGGCCUGUAUUUACACGUGUCCUGUGCUUCCCACCAUGCCCAGUAGAGAGCAGUGUGCUGUUUAAGAGGUUGCCAGGAGUAGAAAAAAACCUUUUUUUUUUUUUUUUUUUCCCCAAGAAAAAAUAUUCCCUCCGUUUUCAUCUGUGAUUAACCUGCCUUCCUUAAACAAGGACGAGACAUAUCAGGGUCACCUAAAAAUGCCUUUCUGCUGCUUUUAUUCAAAGUGGAAGAAACAAAUGCUCUGCUGUGUUUCACACCUUCCUUGAAGUAGAAGGCACUGAAGCCCAUGAUAGAUUCAUACCCUAGCAAGAACUCCUAGGGAAUAACUUCCCUUCAGGAAAACAACAACAACAACAAACAACAAAAAACCAAAAAACCCUGCAACUUGCGGACCUUAAGAAGUCCAUUACAUUUAGACUGUGUGUUAAUGGAAAACCUAAGAUGUAGGUUUUUCAAUGAUGUGCUUUUUUUUUUUCUUUUUUUCUUUUAAAUCAUGGAGCUAAUGAUCACUUUUCCCAGGACAAUUUCUCAAACUUUUAAUGUGACUCUUCUUCCUUGUCACAAGGACACUCUGGGAGUCAUCACUGGAAAUUGAUUUUGGUCUAACUUGCACUGGGAAUUUAUCUGCUUAGAGCUGUAGUCUCUUUCCAGAAUUCAUUUUUCUGCCACAGAAUAGCAGUGCUGACAGAAAGUGUAAUCUUGAAGAGAGAAUAAUCCUUGUUUAGUCUAAUUGAUUUAGAAUGUUACUCUGUGUAGUAGUGCUUUAUGGUAAAACUUAGAGCUGUCUUCCUUGGCUUUGGGUUGAAAUUAAACAGUGUUUUCAAGUACAAAUAUUACUUUGUUUCCAUUUACUUGGAUAUUGUUCAGUAUUCUUAUUCAAAUGAAUGAAACAGAAGUCCUGGCGUGAACUUUUGAAAGUGAGCUGAAGGUCUUCUGCUGUGCUAGUAUCUUGGAGGGCUACUUCACAAGUAAUGUCUCAUGUUACGUUGGCAUUUGAUGUCAGAAGUGGAUGGUGGUGGUAUGGAAGUAGACAUUAAACCUUCCCAUCUAUAUUCCAUUGCAGUUUAUUGCGGUGUGGUGGAUGGCAGCAGAGGGGCAGUCUGACAGCAUGGUGUCUGGCAUGGAAACAAGUAUGAACCAAAGGUGUGUCAUUGAAUUGCUCCACAUGGAAAAAAUGGUACCCACUGAUAUUCAUCGGUGCUUGCUCCAUAGAGACCAAACAGUGGGUGUGAACACACUGAGGCGGUGAGUGGUGCAUUUCAGCAGUGGGACCACGAUGGUGGAUCCACCUUGGCUGGUACAGGUUUUCACUAGUGCAGCAUGCAGGGUUUUAUUCAUCACUGGCAAAAAUGCAUAGCUAAUGGUGACUGUGCUUUGCAGCUGAAAAUUUGCUCUAUCAAAUAGUGUUAUUGUGCUCCUUGUAUCUGUUGUAGUUUCCAUGGAAAUAAAUAGGAGGCAUUCCUUUCAGAGAUGCCUAUGUAUUUCAUUAUAUUACAGAGAUUACAGUUUUUCCUCGCUUUUCAUUUGAAGAAGGCCUAUCUUAAUCCUCCACAUGCUAUGUUACUUAAUGUUAGUAAGGGAGACAAUAGAUGCUUAGGAUUAGCCUUGCACUUAUUAAAUAUUAGUGAGCAUUUUCAAGAACCCAUGCUUGAGAAAUGCAGUUACCUUUACCUUCAGUGAAUCUUUCUCCUGCUCAUGUAAAAGUUUAGAAAGGAGAGGAGGUGAGAGGGAAGCAGCAAAGUGGGAUGUUGUAAGAACAGAGUGAGAAGCUGGUGUGUUGGCAGAGUGAAAUGGUUGAUUUGAAUGAAGGUGGAAAGGACUAUCAGACUCUUCUGAUGUUUUCGUAGAAAGCAGAGCUGUCUUAAACAGUUAAAAAAGAUGACAAGUAAUUAUGCUAUACAACCAGCUAUUAUGGAUAUAACACACCCAAUAAGGAGUCAUGUAAAAAACAUGGACAGUCAGAAAUAGGAUGCUAAUUUUGAUUAUUUGUCAUUCUUCUACUAUGGAAGAAAAUUCUUCUCUCAAAAAUUAAAACAAAUUACUAUUUGUGGCAGUGGAUUUCACCUUUAUUUUUACUGUUUUCUCUCAUGUUGUUCAGGUCAAGUAAGGGCAAAGGAAGCCUGUGAAAUCUUUCUAAUUAAUUAGUUUUACAUUUGGCCUAAAACAUUUCAAGAGUGAGACUGUUCAGGCAGUUGCUUUGACUGGCUCAUGCAAGCAUGUAAAGCAAAUGCUCUGGAGAAUAAGUACUGGACAGAGAAAUUUUGUUCUAAAAGUGCCUGGAAACCACACAAACUGUGUAGCAACAUCAUAACGUUUAAUGGCUAGCACGCACUGGAGAUAGUUCAUUGUUGUACUGUUCCAGAGAGGAACCAGGGCAGGCUGCAUGGGGAAGGAUAUGUUUAACUGCCAAAUGUAAUCUGAUCUGUUUCUAGUCACAUUCUAGAAACAGUCUACUAUAAAUAUAUCAGCUGGUGAAGUGACACAUGUGAUGUACAAACGCCUGAGUCUCCACAGGAGACGUAUCCUUCCCUCUGAAUAACGCUCAUAGCAUUUCUGGGGUCUUGUGCUCAGAAGGGUGGCAGAGUGAGGAGAAUGAUUCCCUGGCUUUUUAUGAAAGAUGAUAGAAGUCAACAAUGACAGAAGGAGAGGAGAAGCAGGACUGAGACACCCUAGAACUUAGCAUUGUCAGCACCUGCUUAUGAGGAGAGACUAUGCCUUAACUGACAAUUUUUAUUCAACACCACAGAAUAAGACUCUGCCUGCACACAGUACAAAAACAUAAAUACAAGGAAAGGAAGAGAAAAAUUAUACUGAGUUACUUAUCUGAACACAGAAGCCAUGAUUUUUGGAAAUUAAAAUACCUUAUAGAUACUUGGUGAUGUGCAUCCUUCACAACAUACUAUGGAAUCUCCUCUACUUCCUACAGGAAAUUCUAAAUUGUCACAUAUCAAAUCUUCUUCUAUAUAGAGUUUUAUCAGUUCUUCUGUUGCGUCUUCUGAUUCUCUGUAGAAAUUUGAUUCUUGAGGCUCUGACUGAUCUCCUAAUUCAAUUGACAGAUCUGCUGUACAGAUUUCCUCUUCAUUUUCAGCACUUGCAGCUGGCAUGGCAGAAAUGGAACUACAUUUAUGUAAGAAAGGAAUGUUGCAGGUGGACUACAGGAGAAGCAUGUAGCAUGUCUGGAUGUUCUGCACCUGCUCUCUCAAGAUGAUCACAGCAGCUUUAGAACAGGAGCAGCCACCAAUAGCUCUGCAGUUCUCACAGGAUGCACUUAAGACCACUAUAGUUUAUCUUGGUAUGGGAUAUAUUACAUCCUGCAGAAAAUCUGUGGUAAGACAAACGUAUGGAAGAUUCUGAAGCACUGUGCAGAAUUUUGGUGAGAAAGCAAUCUAUCUACAACAGCACACUAAGCAUGCUACUUUAUGGAACCUAAAUAUGAUUUACAACAAAGACCAUUCAGUGGGCAUCCCUGAGGACUUGCUAUAAGAAGGUGAAGAUGCACAGCCACUCACAUGUUCAACUCCUCUUCUGUCCCUUGGAGUACAUCGUCCCACAUCGGUGAAAGCAGAAUAGUUUCCAGGAGUUUCCUGGUCUACUGAAAACAGAACAUCAUUAUGUGAAACCGUGGUAAAAUAAACACAUUGAAAUCUGGCAUAUUACUUGGUAUCUUUUAAAGGAAUAAAGAGAUACUGAUUCUAUAAUUUCACAUUUAAAGCAUGUUAUGUUAUGGUUAAAGUUGAUCUUUAAAGAAACAAAGAUACCAACUCUUAAGCCAAGGCUUUCCUCUGAU